UACGUAGGGUGCGAGCGUUGUCCGGAAUUACUGGGCGUAAAGAGCUCGUAGGUGGUUUGUCGCGUUGUCCGUGAAAACUCACAACUCAAUUGUGGGCGUGCGGGCGAUACGGGCAGACUGGAGUACUGCAGGGGAGACUGGAAUUCCUGGUGUAGCGGUGGAAUGCGCAGAUAUCAGGAGGAACACCGGUGGCGAAGGCGAGUCUCUGGGCAGUAACUGACGCUGAGGAGCGAAAAGCGUGGGGAGCGAACAGG
rnacentral:rRNA from 1 species